GACUAUGAGGCCCCAUUCCCAGAAAUUCUGCUUCAGUAGGUCUGGGAGUAAGGCCAAAGACUUUACAUUUCUAACAAGUUCUCAGGUGAUAUUGAUGCUGCCAGUUGAAGAACCCCAAAUUUUUCUUUUGAUUUCCUCUUUGACCCAUUUGUUGUUCAAGGAUGAUAUCAUGGAUGAGAUACAUCAUAUUGAUGCCAUGAAGUCAUGAAGAUAGUCACCUCCAUGAGGGCAAUGACCAUAUCUGCCUUUUUUAAUCACUGAUCUUCAUUGCCAAAUAUAAUGCUUGGAACCUGUAAUACAGAUCACAAAUGUACCUUUGAGACUUGCCGAAAUAAUGCAAUUGCAAAGAAAUACUUUAAAGAAACCACACUGAAGAGCCCAAUGAUAUCUUCUUGGACUAACGAAUCAAUUUGGUCACUCAAGAGAAGGCAGCACACCAUUUGCAGAACAGGACCACCAUGGAGCCUACAACUCUCACCCAAUCUGUCCGCUGAACCUUAGAUUCGUAAGAUCAAAUGCCAGUUGAGUGUCUCACCCUCCCUCUCUCUAUUAAAGUAGCACUAUCCACCCACUUGACCAAACCAAAAGCACUCUAGAUAUCUGACCUACUCCAAUACUGAAUUUGUUUUCAAGUGUGGGUAAUACAAUCUUUAAUCACCUCUAUUCUGAUUGGUAGAUACUCCUACUUGGAAAAGGUAUGUGGUAUGCCCAAGUUUACACAGAAGCUAAGAAGGAUAGUGAUGAUUCAAAUCCAGGUGUUAACCUAGUUUCUUCCCCUCUAUCAUUCAGAAAAAGAAAUAAAAGUUUCCUGGAGAAUGACAGCCUCCUUCUUUUUGCCACUCAUUUAAUUUCUCUGAGUUAAUUUCUCUGAACAGCAGGUUAUUUUUCUAUUUAAAAAAAAAAAAAGGAUAAUAUUUUCUCUGCUUACUUUACACUAAAAAUAAAAUCAAAUUACAUGGAAAUAAUGCUUUGUAUACUUUAAAAAUAUUUUUUCUAUCAAUUCUAAACAAACAUCCACGUAUUUAUUUUGUUACUAGAAGAGAAAGGCAGGAUCUAAUACUAUAAAUCAAACAUCGAAUCUCAAAAUGUUGACAGUUGGCAAUUUAGGAACAAAUUAGAGCCCCAAAUCAAAAAUAAAUGAAAAGCAUUUAUAAGCUACAUGAUCUGGAAAAUGGGAAGAGAGAGCAGAUUUUUAAAAAGAGAAGUAACAAUUGACAAUAAUUACAAGACAGAAAUGACGUGUUAAUAGCAUACCACAGAGAAUAGGAAUACUGGUGUUUUCAUUGGAGGAUUAUUUUUCUUAAUUUAACACAAUCUCAGUGGACUAAUGUAAAGGGGAAGGGUCUGACUGUUAAGAAGAAGGAAAAUAAGAAUAAGAAGGAAAAACACAAACAGAAAUAAAACUACAUUAUUGUGCAUUGCAAAUUCAGAGUCAAACAUAAUUCCAGAUGCAGGAUCAAACUGAUGGGAGAAUGGGCUUUCUGGGAAGGAGAAAACUAUUACUUCAUUCAAAACUGACAAACCAAAUCUCUCAGGCAAUGCAGAGGACCCUUCCCUUCUAGCAUGUUGUGGACCUCAGUUUCCAUACAAACUCCUUUAUGGCUUUCUUUGUGGCUGUUUUGCUUGGGUUACCUUUUCUUAUUUCAAUAGCCUGGGUUCAGAAUACUUGGAUUUUAAUCCCAGUUCUGCAACUAGCAAUCUAUGUAACUUCUGGCAAAUAAUAUAUUAUUCUGAAGAUUUGUGCUCAUCUAUGAAGUGGUCAUGCUAGAACCUUUCUACUGAUAUCUCAAUAUUGGCAUAGUGGUUAAAAGAAUAGAUUCUAUAGCAAGGCUGCCUGGGUUUGAAUUUUAGCUACAACGGCAGCCUUGAGCAACUGACAUAAAUUCUUUGGCCUCAGUUUCUUCAUCUGUAAAUUGAGGGUGCCUAAAGCACCUAUAUCAUUGAGUCGUUAUAGGGAUUGACUGAAUUAAUACCUCAGAUAAUUACUGAGGAAAAUCCUUAGAGCAGUGUCUGAUACUUAUUAAAUGCAUAAGCGUGUUCAUUAUUAUUGACCACAUGUGAAAGAAAUUUAAAGCUAUUAAAAGCCCUGACAAACAUGAGACAGUGAAAAGAAAAAAAAUAUUCCUCGGAUCAGUGACCUUUGGUAUAUGCCACCAUCACUUUGAUUUAUGCUGAAGCCACAUUGCGCUCCUGGGUAUUACCAGUUGAUCAAGGAAUUAAUUCUAGAGAGAGGUAGAGAGGAGAAAAACAAAACGGUGGAAAAUAUGAAUGGAAAAAGAAAAGGUUACUUGGAAGGUGUUAAAUGCUUCACUUUCUGAAGGAAGCAUUGUCAAGAAAGAAAAAAAAAAGAAAAAAGAAAAAAAAAGAAAAAGAAAAGAAAAAAAGAUGGAUUAAGCUGUGACAUCAGACUGCCUAGGUUUAUAUAGUCAGCUACGCCAUUUACAGGAGGCCGUGUGGCCUUAGGCAAGUGACUUCACCUAACUCUAAGACUACUUACCUUUUCAUAAAUAAGAAUAAUGAUAAAUAUUUAGCUAUUGGAUUUCACGAAGAGUAAAUGAAAUACCUACUUAGAACACUAUUGAACACUUAUCACAGCAACUAUUAGUAGAUAUUAUUCCCAACUCUGAAAUAUGCCAAAUAUUGCUCAUGGUAUUAUACAGGUAAACUAUUAAAAGUCUCAGUACAACCAGCUGAAGAGAACAGAGCUAAGUAAAUCUCUUGAUUUACCUGGAAACCAAGAGCUAAUGAGAAACAGAGCUAGGACUCAAAUCCAACUCUUUCUGGUUCCCAAGGCGCAUGCUCCACUGCCUCCCAAAGUAAUGGCCAAGUGCAAAUCACAUUCUUUCUACUGCAUAGGACAUUGCUUAACACCCCCAAAUAGAACUUAUGCAUACAUUAAAGAGAUGCAGCAUUUUUUAUGAGCCCAGGUUGUUGUUUUAAAGCCAAAUUCGAACAGCGAAUAAAAAUCAAAGCAACUAUGAUUUAUUCACUGCUGGGUACUCUACAUACAUCAUAUCUGCAUCAUCACUGUUAUUAUUUUAUUGAUUACAUGUUAUUAGUCUGCUUCUGUGCUAAUGUUUUCUAUCUGUGCUUUUCAAAUAUUGAACUGAAUAAGAAUCACUGGGAGACCUUGUUAAAAUGCAGAUUCUGAUUCAGUAGGUCUAGGCAUAGCCUGUGAUUCUAUAUUUAUAAUCAGCUCCCAGCUAAUACUAAUGCUGCUAUUUUGUAAACCUUAAUGGGAUUAGCAAGAUUUUAUAGGAUUUUCUUAUUCAAUCCUUACAUUCAUGUUGUUACAAAAAAUUAGAGGCACUACUGAGCUCAUUUUACUGAAGAAGAGACUGAGGCUCAAAGAGUUUAUGUGUCCUGCCUCAGGAUAGAGUGAAUAGGAGACAGAACCAGAAUUCGAUUUGUCAUGCAUGUAUUUAUAUACAUGGUAGUAUAUAAAUAAUCUGCUUAAUGAUUUAGCAUUUAAACUUUUCACAUUUAUUUUACAAAUUUCCAUUAGACAAGUAUUCAUAUGUAUUUUUGAAAAUCUAAUUGGACAUCAAAAGAUGAUAAACAUACAUUGUUGCCCUCUAUAAAACCAGUCUAAUUGGAAGCAAGAGAGAUAAACAAGUUCUUAAAAGAUAAUAUGAAGAUAAUCAGUGCUGAAAGGGCGCAGAAAAUCAAGGACUUCAAUAAGGUCUCAUGGGAGAUACAACUGGUACAGCCUUUCUGUUCUAGUCAAGAUUUUACCAAGUGGACAUACCGUUUGUAAAGCCGACAAUAACUACAAGGACAGUGCUGUGGUGGGAUGAAACAGCCACUGUCAGAAAUGUAAUAUCUGAGGGUGUUCAGAAUGAUACUGCAAAUAAGAGGCAGGAACUCUUCUCUCUGCCUGACCGGGGUUGGAAAGCUCUGCACAGAUGUGAUCUCUCAGAGCUAGAAGAUUGAGUAGGAUUCCUUUAGAAGGCAAAGAGAGGAAAAAGUACUCAAGAUUAGAGGAACAAUUUAGGCAUAUCACUGUGAUUUAGAGAAAACCAAAUGAACAGAUAUGGGUCCUGUCUGCUCUCAAGAGCUCCCAAGCGAUGUGAGAAGCCAAUUCACACAUUAGAGAAUUCAUGACUAAAAGCAAGCAAUGUAGGUGUUUAGCGGAGUAAUGUGGAUUUGGACAAGUACUUUUCUGGGUAAGAGUAUUUAGUUCUUUCUACAGGGGUUCUCGUUUUUCCUCAGCCCAACACAUGUGAAUGACAGAACACAUUUCAUCAUAAUAGUGACAUGGAAAGGUAGUAAUUCACGAGGAAUUUGGGGGCUGGGCAUGUCGGUUUCCUCUUGAUAACUCCUUCCACAGAAAGACAUUCUAGAAGUGAAUUCUUGAGGAGUAUUGAGUACAAAAGGUUGGCUGGAAAAGCUAUUUGGUUUGUAGAAGUUUAUAGGAUUUAUGCUGAGUGAAAAAUUGGCAUCAGGUCCCUCUCCAACACUAGAUCCCUCUCCAAGAGUAACCAUGAAUAAUACAUAUGAAAUCCUCUUUGAUUCCCCAAAUUGCCUACCCAUUUUAUUGUUGUAUUCAAAUAAAUUAUAACGUAAAUGUAAUUUAAAGAUAAAAAUGUUAAAAAAGAUCAUUUUUCUUCUACCAAUUUAACUUUAUAUACUCUAUAUUGAUUCUUUGUUCAUAAGCAUUUAUUUUUUAAAAUAGUAAUAAUAUGUAUAUAUUCUGUUCAUAGAUUUUUAUUAACAUUAUAGAUACAUAUUUCCAUGUAAAAACAUAGUCCAUAAUUGAAAUUUUAAUGACUGCAUUAUAUUUCACUGAAUUAAUAUAUCAUAUUUUCCCAGUUGUUAGACAUUUAAGCUGCAAUGAGUAACAUGAUAUAUAUCUUUUUACAUUUAAAAAGUUUAUUUCUCUAUAAUAAAUUCCCCAGAGACAAACUGAGUCAAAGAUGAUAAUCAUUUUUGUCUCUCAAAAAGGCCAGCUUUCCAUGACCAUUUACCACAUGUGUAUAACCAGUUUUAUCACAAUGUCACUAGUACUUGGUAUUAUUGUUUUAAAUAAAACAUUUCCUAAUUUUAAAGAAUGUAAAACUUGGACUUGCUAUGGUGUGAUUUUUAAGGUCUUUAAUUACAAGGGCUAGUGAAUCUUUUAUUUUGUGUUAGUGUAGAGCUUAUGAGAGCUUAUUAGGUUACAGGCUUCUGCAUGCUUGUAUACUUGGGCAAGUUGUUUAAUUUAUUUAUACUUCUUAUCCAUGGAAUGGGGAUAAUAAUAGUGUUUAACUGUUUAGAUUGUUGUGAGAUUUAAAAAGUUAAUACAUUUUAAAGCACCUAGAAUGUUGCCUGGUACACAAUAAACUCAACAUAUGUUA